CAGGGAAAGGGAGAGAGUCUGUGCGGGUGGGAGGUGGCUGGCCCCUGGGGGGUCCCCAGGCCUGCUUCUUCCCAGCACAGCGGGGCUGCAGGCUGUUCCCCUUCCGUCCCCCCCCCCGGGACCCCUCGCUUACAGGUGCUUUCCUCUUCUUUGCACGCAGUUUUCACUUGCUCGCUCCGUCGAAGUUCUGACUGUAGCACAUAGCCGAGAGCCGGGGGCGCUCCCCUGCCCCCCCAGUGCCGCUUCCAUCAGAGGCAGCAAGCAUCACACAGUGGUCCAGGGCCAGCCUUUUCCACUCAAUUAUAGGUGUCUGGGGGCUGGUUAUGUAGCCCUCGGCCUUAGCGUCCUCUCCUGGAGGAGUUGUCCAUCACCUACCCUAAGGCAGAGAAGACUAAUUGAGAUAGAGUGUCAAAGCUCUUACUCCGGAGCUUGGCACAAAAUCCAUGUCCAGUGAUCCCUGACUAGCUGCCCGCUCGUAUUCGGGGAACUGGGGAUUGCAGAGGGAACUUUUGAAAAGACUAUCAAACCCGCUUCCCUGUCUGCUUCCCUGGGGGAUGGGGCAGUGCGAUGCAGCCCUGAGUUAAUCCCGCUCAUGCGUCCCUGAUGGAACAGGCCCAGCCCAGACCGUGGAGGAGAAUUUCCAGGGUGGAUAUAUGGGUCCCUGUCCCAGAGGAUUCUGACCACAGGAUGUCGAGCUAAUCCCUUGUCAUUGCCGAGCCUGGGUUCCUCUGUCUUUCUUGGAUUAUUUUACUUUAUCUGGUGAGUUCUAGACUCAGUCUGUGAGGUGGGAUCUCCUUAUUCAGAUGGGGAAACUGAGGUUUAGCUGUGUCACUUGCUUAAGGAUGCGUCUGAGGUUACAGAGCAAGCAAGCACGUGCUAACU